GGCACUAUAGCCAAGUGGUUAAGGCGAUAGAUUCGAAUCAUGAUUCAUCUAUUACUCUCUGAGUGCGCAGGUUCAAAUCCUGCUGGUGUCG